GGAUCCAGACUUUGAUUAUGGCUCAGGAUGAACGCUAGCUACAGGCUUAACACAUGCAAGUCGAGGGGAAACGAUAUUGGAAGCUUGCUUCCGAUAGGCGUCGACCGGCGCACGGGUGAGUAACGCGUAUCCAACCUGCCCAUCACUUGGGGAUAACCUUGCGAAAGUAAGACUAAUACCCAAUGACGUCUCUAGAAGACAUCUGAAAGAGAUUAAAGAUUUAUCGGUGAUGGAUGGGGAUGCGUCUGAUUAGCUUGUUGGCGGGGUAACGGCCCACCAAGGCAACGAUCAGUAGGGGUUCUGAGAGGAAGGUCCCCCACAUUGGAACUGAGACACGGUCCAAACUCCUACGGGAGGCAGCAGUGAGGAAUAUUGGUCAAUGGACGAGAGUCUGAACCAGCCAAGUAGCGUGCAGGAUGACGGCCCUAUGGGUUGUAAACUGCUUUUAUAAGGGAAUAAAGUGAGUCUCGUGAGACUUUUUGCAUGUACCUUAUGAAUAAGGACCGGCUAAUUCCGUGCCAGCAGCCGCGGUAAUACGGAAGGUCCGGGCGUUAUCCGGAUUUAUUGGGUUUAAAGGGAGCGUAGGCCGGAGAUUAAGCGUGUUGUGAAAUGUAGACGCUCAACGUCUGCACUGCAGCGCGAACUGGUUUCCUUGAGUACGCACAAAGUGGGCGGAAUUCGUGGUGUAGCGGUGAAAUGCUUAGAUAUCACGAAGAACUCCGAUUGCGAAGGCAGCUCACUGGAGCGCAACUGACGCUGAAGCUCGAAAGUGCGGGUAUCGAACAGGAUUAGAUACCCUGGUAGUCCGCACGGUAAACGAUGGAUGCCCGCUGUUGGUCUGAAUAGGUCAGCGGCCAAGCGAAAGCAUUAAGCAUCCCACCUGGGGAGUACGCCGGCAACGGUGCAACUCAAAGGAAUUGACGG
rnacentral:rRNA from 1 species